rnacentral:rRNA from 1 species
ACGCUCGACACCUACGGGGAGGCAGCAGGUGGGGAAUAUUGCACAAUGGGGGAAACCCUGAUGCAGCGACGCCGCGUGAGUGAAGAAGUAUUUCGGUAUGUAAAGCUCUAUCAGCAGGGAAGAAGAUGACGGUACCUGAGUAAGAAGCCCCGGCUAACUACGUGCCAACAGCCGCGGUAAUCUGAGCGGGCUGGCAAGGC